UACAGAGGUGGCAAGCGUUGUUCGGAAUUACUGGGCGUAAAGGGCGCGUAGGCGGUCUUGCAAGUCCCGUGUGAAAUCCCUCGGCUCAACUGAGGAACUGCACGGGAAACUGCUUGGCUUGAGUUCGGGAGAGGGAAGCGGAAUUCCGGGUGUAGCGGUGAAAUGCGUAGAGAUCCGGAGGAACGCCGGUGGCGCAAGCGGCCACCUGGGUCUGACCUGACGCUGAGGUGCGAAAGCGUGGGGAGCAAACCGG
rnacentral:rRNA from 1 species